CAAUAGCGUAUAUUUAAGUUGCUGCAGUUAAAAAGCUCGUAGUUGGAUUUCGGGUGGGAAUGGCCGGUCCGCCGUUUCGGUGUGCACUUGCUACGCCCACCUUGCUGCCGGGGACGUGCUCUUGAGUUCACGCUCGGGACACGGAGUCGGCGAGGUUACUUUGAGUAAAUUAGAGUGUUCAAAGCGGGCCUACGCUCUGAAUACAUUAGCAUGGAAUAACACGAUAGGACUCUGGCCUAUCUUGUUGGUCUGUAGGACCGGAGUAAUGAUUAAGAGGGACAGUCGGGGGCACUCGUAUUUCAUUGUCAGAGGUGAAAUUCUUGGAUUUAUGAAAGACGAACUACUGCGAAAGCAUUUGCCAAGGAUGUUUUCAUUAA
rnacentral:rRNA from 1 species